UACAGAAAAUCCUCAUCUGAAACCAGGGUCCUGGCUGACCUUUGAACGUGACCUUCAGGGGAUGGUGGACGUCAUAAUCAUCCAGGAUACAAGAAAUGCACCAUCCUCCACUGAGACACUGGCUCUGCACGGGCAUUUGCUGAGGGCUAUCAACUCCUGGACAAAUGCAGGCAUUUUUUCAGUUGACAUCUAGAAGCUCUGGUUCUCUACCUUGCCGUCUACUGUCUUAUCCAGUGGUCACCUCUAUUCAAAUCCAGAACUGGGUGGGGAAGAAAUACUCUUGCUUAUUUCUGUGCUCUCUGACACUGCUCACCAGCCCAAGGAUGGGUGAGGAAAGAGGAAAACAGAGCCCGACAUCCAGAAACUGGCCUGACCCUCCAAGCCAGACCUCUGCUUUUUCUUGUUAAAUGUCUGCAAAGGUGCCAGCUAUCAAGCACAUCCAUCCACAUAGAGCUCUGCAGGGCCACACUGUGCCCCACUAAGGCCGGAAGGAAUCCCGCACACUUCCGGUCCCGUGUCCUUGGCCAGGACAGCACCAUCUCCUGUCGUCACAAGGGAGAGAAGGACGAGAGAGUGCAAGCAUAGAGAUGGCCCAGGUCUGACGCUCAGGACGUGAUAGUCAUCAAGUCACCUAGGCUGAGUGGAAGCCGUGAACAGGAAUGCUUCCUAGCUUGAAGACCUUCACGUGUGCUUUCAGAUGUGACACACUGGCCUGCAAACCUCCUUGCUCACAGCUGUCGUGGGAAUCUCCAUUCUUUACAGACUCAGCUCCCCACCUGAGGUCCCAGUGUCCAGGCAGGAGUCCCCAGCCUCCGUCCAACUAGGAACCAGACUGUUCCUCUCAACACUUUGCUUCAUUCAGAAGAAAUCCCACUUUCCAAAUGCCUUGGUGAUACCUCUGGUGAGCACGUACAUCAUGCUGAAGAUAGAACAGGGCAGGAAAUGGAAGAUUUAGGACUUUGGAGCCAGACAGACAUGGGUCAACCCCCUGCCCUGCAUUUAUAACAGAAUGAUCCAAAGCCCCUACUCUUCAAGACUGUGCAUGGACAGAAUCUGUACACAGACAGAACAUAGCCCGAGAGCCGGACUGCCGAGGUCCAAAUUCUAACCUUACCACUUCCUGGUGCUGCUUGCUGCCCGCCUCCGCUCCUCCACCGGGCACCGUGACACACAACCCUCGGGCCCCUCACGCGCCCCUGUCUUCUCCUGUGUGCCUGGGAAGAAUUCAACCCGCCCCUGCCACACCUCGGGCACAUCCCUUAUCACAUCAUAUGUUAUUUUUUAUUUAUUUUCUUUUUCACCUCACCCAACUGGAAUAUAAAUUCCACAAGAUCGGUAUUUUAUUUGACUUUGCAUACCAGAACCCCAAACACGUGGG
rnacentral:lncRNA from 1 species